rnacentral:rRNA from 1 species
UACGAAGGGGGAGCGAGCGUUGUUCGGAAUUACUGGGCGUAAAGGGCGCGCAGGCGGCCCUUGAAGUCAGGCGUGGAAGCCCCGGGCUCAACCUGGGAGGUGCGCUUGAUACUCGAGGGCUUGAGUGCGGGAGAGGAGAGUGGAAUUCCCAGUGUAGAGGUGAAAUUCGUAGAUAUUGGGAAGAACACCGGUGGCGAAGGCGGCUCUCUGGACCGAUACUGACGCUGAGGCGCGAAAGCUAGGGGGAGCAAACAGG